rnacentral:rRNA from 1 species
GAUGAACGCUGGCGGCGUGCUUAACACAUGCAAGUCGAACGAUGAAGCUCAGCUUGCUGGGUGGAUUAGUGGCGAACGGGUGAGUAACACGUGAGUAACCUGCCCUUAACUCUGGGAUAAGCCUGGGAAACUAGGUCUAAUACCGGAUAGGAGCGCCUACCGCAUGGUGGGUGUUGGAGAGAUUUAUCGGUUUUGGAUGGACUCGCGGCCUAUCAGCUUGUUGGUGAGGUAAUGGCUCACCAAGGCGACGACGGGUAGCCGGCCUGAGAGGGUGACCGGCCACACUGGGACUGAGACACGGCCCAGACUCCUACGGGAGGCAGCAGUGGGGAAUAUUGCACAAUGGGCGAAAGCCUGAUGCAGCGACGCCGCGUGAGGGAUGACGGCCUUCGGGUUGUAAACCUCUUUCAGUAGGGAAGAAGCGAAAGUGACGGUACCUGCAGAAGAAGCACCGGCUAACUACGUG